GAUGAACGCUAGCGGCAGGCCUAAUACAUGCAAGUCGAACGGGGUCCUUCGGGGCCCAGUGGCGCACGGGUGCGUAACGCGUAUGCAACCUACCUUCAACUGGGGGAUAGCCCGGAGAAAUCCGGAUUAAUACCGCAUAAGACCACGUGAGGACAUCCGAGUGUGGUUAAAGAUUUAUCGGUUGGAGAUGGGCAUGCGUGCCAUUAGCUAGUUGGUGGGGUAAGGGCCCACCAAGGCGACGAUGGCUAGGGGGUCUGAGAGGAUGGUCCCCCACACUGGCACUGAGAUACGGGCCAGACUCCUACGGGAGGCAGCAGUAGGGAAUAUUGGGCAAUGGGCGGAAGCCUGACCCAGCCAUGCCGCGUGCAGGAUGAAGGCCUUCUGGGUUGUAAACUGCUUUUACAGGGGAAGAAAACACCCAUGCGUGGGGAACUGACGGUACCCUGGGAAUAAGCACCGGCUAACUCC
rnacentral:rRNA from 1 species